rnacentral:rRNA from 1 species
UACUAAUUAAUACCAAAAAACACUUAAACCCCAUUAUUAGUAUUGAAUAAUUUUAUAAAAAUAUAAAAAAUACAAUGCUAGAACUAGUAAUAAGAAAUAUAUAUUUCUCCUAAAUGUAAGCAUAAAUCAGCAAGAACCACUCCCUGACCAAUAUUGCAAAUAUAAAGUAAUAACUUAACUAGAAAAUAUUACUUCAUUAAGCAUUAACCUAACACAAGAACAUUUAAGGAAAGAUUAAACCAGGGAGAAGGAACUCGGCAAAUUUUAGUCUCGCCUGUUUACCAAAAACAUCGCCUCUUGAUUACCAUAAGAGGUCCAGCCUGCCCAGUGAUUACAAUUUAACGGCCGCGGUACCCUAACCGUGCGAAGGUAGCAUAAUCACUUGUUUCUUAAAUAGAGACUAGUAUCAACGGCAUCACGAAGACUACACUGUCUCCCCCCUAAAAUCAAUGAAACUGAUCCCCUCGUGAAGAAGCGGGAAUAUAAAUAUAAGACGAGAAGACCCCAUGGAGCUUUAAACGAACCUCAAUUGCUCCCACUCUUACCACAUAAACUGAGCACUAAUGAUGGGUAGUUUUCGGUUGGGGUGACCACGGAGUAAAACAAAACCUCCACAAUGAAUGUAAUAAAAUACUAAUAAAAGAUCCACAAUUCUAAUAAUCAAAAAAUUGACAUAAAUUGACCCAAACACUUGAUCAAUGAACUAAGUUACCCUGGGGAUAACAGCGCAAUCCAUUUAAAGAGCCCCUAUCGACAAAUGGGUUUACGACCUCGAUGUUGGAUCAGGGUAUCCUAGUGGUGCAGCCGCUACUAAUGGUUCGU